GACGAACGCUGGCGGCGUGCUUAACACAUGCAAGUCGAACGGAAAGGCCCUGCUUUUGUGGGGUGCUCGAGUGGCGAACGGGUGAGUAACACGUGAGUAACCUGCCCUUGACUUUGGGAUAACUUCAGGAAACUGGGGCUAAUACCGGAUAGGAGCUCCUGCUGCAUGGUGGGGGUUGGAAAGUUUCGGCGGUUGGGGAUGGACUCGCGGCUUAUCAGCUUGUUGGUGGGGUAGUGGCUUACCAAGGCUUUGACGGGUAGCCGGCCUGGGAGGGUGACCGGCGACAUUGGGACUGAGAUACGGCCCAGACUCCUACGGGAGGCAGCAGUGGGGAAUAUUGCACAAUGGGCGGAAGCCUGAUGCAGCAACGCCGCGUGCGGGAUGACGGCCUUCGGGUUGUAAACCGCUUUCGCAUGUGACGAAGCGUGAGUGACGGUAAUGGGUAAAGAAGCACCGGCUAACUACGUG
rnacentral:rRNA from 1 species